rnacentral:rRNA from 1 species
CACUCCUGCGGGAGGCAGCAGUGGGGAAUAUUGGACAAUGGGCGCAAGCCUGAUCCAGCCAUGCCGCGUGAGUGAUGAAGGCCCUAGGGUUGUAAAGCUCUUUCACCGGUGAAGAUAAUGACGGUAACCGGAGAAGAAGCCCCGGCUAACUUCGUGCCAGCAGCCGCGGUAAUACGAAGGGGGCUAGCGUUGUUCGGAUUUACUGGGCGUAAAGCGCACGUAGGCGGACUAUUAAGUCAGGGGUGAAAUCCCGGGGCUCAACCCCGGAACUGCCUUUGAUACUGGUAGUCUUGAGUUCGAGAGAGGUGAGUGGAAUUCCGAGUGUAGAGGUGAAAUUCGUAGAUAUUCGGAGGAACACCAGUGGCGAAGGCGGCUCACUGGCUCGAUACUGACGCUGAGGUGCGAAAGCGUGGGGAGCAAACAGGAUUAGAAACCCCUGUAGUCCCAUG